GUGGGGAAUAUUGGACAAUGGGCACAAGCCUGAUCCAGCCAUGCCGCGUGAGUGAUGAAGGCCCUAGGGUUGUAAAGCUCUUUCACCGGUGAAGAUAAUGACGGUAACCGGAGAAGAAGCCCCGGCUAACUUCGUGCCAGCAGCCGCGGUAAUACGAAGGGGGCUAGCGUUGUUCGGAAUUACUGGGCGUAAAGCGCACGUAGGCGGGUAUUUAAGUCAGGGGUGAAAUCCCGGAGCUCAACUCCGGAACUGCCUUUGAUACUGGGUACCUAGAGUAUGGAAGAGGUAAGUGGAAUUCCGAGUGUAGAGGUGAAAUUCGUAGAUAUUCGGAGGAACACCAGUGGCGAAGGCGGCUUACUGGUCCAUUACUGACGCUGAGGUGCGAAAGCGUGGGGAGCAAACAGGAUUAGAAACCCUGGUAGUCC
rnacentral:rRNA from 1 species